GGAAUAUAAGAAUCCGUCUCUUAACUUUUAACUAAAAAAGUUAAGAACCGGCUCUCAAUUAAGAUAUUUAAGAGCCGGUUCUUAACUUUUUUAGUUAAAAGUUAAGAAACGGGUUCUUAUAUUCC
rnacentral:pre_miRNA from 1 species